AGCGGAGGAAAAGAAACCAACAGGGAUGGCUCUAGUAACGGCGAGUGAAGCAGCCAAAGCUCAAAUUUGAAAGCUCCUAACAAGGCGCAUUGUAAUUUGAAGAUGGUAUUCCGAGUUAGUCCUUUACCUCAGUUCCUUGGAACAGGACGCCAUAGAGGGUGAGAGCCCCGUGUGGUAUUGGUAGCUUUCUCAUGUGGUUUACCUUCGAAGAGUCGAGUUGUUUGGGAAUGCAGCUCUAAGUGGGUGGUAAAUUCCAUCUAAAGCUAAAUAUUGGCGAGAGACCGAUAGCGAACAAGUACUGUGAAGGAAAGAUGAAAAGAACUUUGAAAAGAGAGUGAAAAAGUACGUGAAAUUGUUGAAAGGGAAGGGAAUUGGACUAGACUUGGAUUUCUGUUAUCAGCAGUCUUUCGGGGCUGUGCACUAGCAGUUUUCUAGGCCAGGAUCUGUUUGGAGGCCAGGAUAAAACCCAAAGAAUGUGGCUCUUCGGAGUGUUAUAGCUUUGGUUGAAUACUGGCAUUCUGGACAGAGGACCGCGCUUCGUGCUAGGAUCCUGGCGUAAUAGUCCUAUUCCACCCGUCUUGA
rnacentral:rRNA from 1 species